ACACAAAAAGAAGAUAAAGCAAGAAAAAUUAAGGGGGAGGGGAAGAAAAAAAACUAAAACACCACCACGACUCGAUUUCCAAAGUUCCCCAAGGAGCCAGUCCGGAGCGCAGAGCCCCGUGUCCGCCUGCGUGUGUGUCUGCUCGCGUGCUGCAUCCGUGUGAUUUCCAGCCCACUCCCCUCUUCGGUUCUCCUCCCACGUCUUAAAAAUGAUAAGGGGAUGGUUGCUGUAGCUUGCUUUCGGCUCUUGAACAAAACCUCUGGCUGCUUGGCUUUGGGGAGAUUGGGGAGGGAGGGGGGGGCGUUACUACACACAUAAAUCUUUUUUUUUCCUUUCUUCUUAGUUUUAUGAAUGAAACCGGCCGGCUGAGCUGGGAGUAACAUCCCUGCCCUGAAACUCCUCAAAAGUGGUGAAAUCCAGGCGGGUAGCAGCGGAUGAAAGGGGAGGCAGCGGAGCGGCGGCUCCCCCGGAUCCUUUGAGACAGAGAAGGGAGAGAGAAGCAAAAAAAUAAACCACCCCUAUUCGUAACUAAAACGCAGUGCAACCUUGAAGGCUGGCAGAAUAAACCUAUUGUGGAGCUGAAACGCGCCGGGAUAUGCAAGGAAAAAGCCCCCAGAGUACCACUGUUUGCGAAAAGAUGCACACGGAAAACAAACAGCACCAGGGGCUGCAGCUCUGAAGGGAGCGAAGUUGCUCUGCUUCACAUGGGCUCCUCGGCUGCGUUUCGGGAGCUGCCCAGAUCUCCAGCCAUGAGAAAACGGAGCAAAAGACCGGGGUUUCUUGUCAUGUGCCUUUCUGGCUAAAACUGUGGAAACAAACAAACAAUCAAACAACACACAAAU